AAGAAAUAGAGAGAUCCAAUCCUAGCUACCCAAACGUAUGGAGAUAACGCUAGAUCAUGCAAUUUCCUUGGGUUUUAUCCCAAGUGUUCUCAUGUAAGAAUAAUUUAAGCAAUUUUCAGACUAACAAAUAAUUAUUUUGCAAUAAAAAAUCAACGUAGAUUUUAAUAACAAAAUAAUAUAAAAAUUAAGUAUGAAAUUGCAUAAAUAUUGAACUCCCAAAAAUUAAACAAUAUUUGAUCAAGUCUCACAACCCAUUAAACAACUAAAGUUUCAACCAAUAUUCAACUAGAUGAAGAAAAUCAGUCACUCAUUGGCUGAAUAAAAAAAAACAGAAAAAUAAAAAUAAAAGGGAAAAGAAGAAAAGAACCGAAGGCGGUGGAGCUUGCGGAACUGCCGAACGAAG
rnacentral:lncRNA from 1 species